CUUGAGCGAGCCCAGCCACAGCGGCUCUCCGGCCGCGUCGGAGCGCUGACCGUAGGUCGCCAGCAGGGCCUGCGCUUC
rnacentral:antisense_RNA from 1 species